CGGCGGACGGGUGAGGAACACAUCGGAAUCUACCCUGUCGUGGGGGACAACGUAGGGAAACUUACGCUAAUACCGCAUACGACCUUUGGGUGAAAGCGGGGGACUCGCAAGGGCCCCGCGCGAUUGGAUGAGCCGAUGUCCGAUUAGCUAGUUGGCGGGGUAAUGGCCCACCAAGGCGACGAUCGGUAGCUGGUCUGAGAGGACGACCAGCCACACUGGAACUGAGACACGGUCCAG
rnacentral:rRNA from 1 species